AAACUGGUUCCUUUAGGAACCACCAAAUACAAAAAAGAAUCUAAA
rnacentral:ncRNA from 1 species